CACGUAGGGGGCAAGCGUUGUCCGGAUUUAUUGGGUUUAAAGGGUGCGUAGGCGGUUCUCUAAGUCAGUUGUGAAAUACUUCAGCUUAACUGGAGAGGUGCAAUUGAUACUGGAGAACUUGAGUACUGAUGAGGUAGGCGGAAUGGACGGUGUAGCGGUGAAAUGCUUAGAUAUCGUCCAGAACACCGAUAGCGAAGGCAGCUUACUAAGGAGUAACUGACGCUGAGGCACGAAAGUGUGGGGAUCAAACAGG
rnacentral:rRNA from 1 species